rnacentral:rRNA from 1 species
GACGAACGCUGGCGGCGUGCCUAAUACAUGCAAGUCGAACGCUUCUUUCCUCCCGAGUGCUUGCACUCAAUUGGAAAGAGGAGUGGCGGACGGGUGAGUAACACGUGGGUAACCUACCCAUCAGAGGGGGAUAACACUUGGAAACAGGUGCUAAUACCGCAUAACAGUUUAUGCCGCAUGGCAUAAGAGUGAAAGGCGCUUUCGGGUGUCGCUGAUGGAUGGACCCGCGGUGCAUUAGCUAGUUGGUGAGGUAACGGCUCACCAAGGCCACGAUGCAUAGCCGACCUGAGAGGGUGAUCGGCCACACUGGGACUGAGACACGGCCCAGACUCCUACGGGAGGCAGCAGUAGGGAAUCUUCGGCAAUGGACGAAAGUCUGACCGAGCAACGCCGCGUGAGUGAAGAAGGUUUUCGGAUCGUAAAACUCUGUUGUUAGGGAAGAACAAGGACGUUAGUAACUGAACGUCCCCUGACGGUAUCUAACCAGAAAGCCACGGCUAACUACGUG